rnacentral:rRNA from 1 species
GCAUAUCAAUAAGCGGAGGAAAAGAAACCAACAGGGAUUGCCUCAGUAACGGCGAGUGAAGCGGCAACAGCUCAAAUUUGAAAUCUGGCCUCUUUGGGGUCCGAGUUGUAAUUUGUAGAGGAUGUUUCGGGCACCGCUCCGGUUUAAAUUUCUUGGAACAGAAUGUCAAAGAGGGUGAGAACCCCGUCUUGGACCGGCAGUAGGGCCCAUGUGAAACUCCUUCGACGAGUCGAGUUGUUUGGGAAUGCAGCUCAAAAUGGGUGGUAAAUUUCAUCUAAAGCUAAAUAUUGGCCAGAGACCGAUAGCGCACAAGUAGAGUGAUCGAAAGAUGAAAAGCACUUUGAAAAGAGAGUUAAACAGUACGUGAAAUUGUUGAAAGGGAAGCGCUUGCAACCAGACUUGCGCGCGGCGGUUCCCCCUUCCUUUUGGUUGGGUUAUUCCGCCGUGUCCAGGCCAACAUCGGUUCUGGGGGUCGGUUAAAGGCCUGGGGAAUGUAUCUACCCUUCGGGCGUAUACUUAUAUCCCCGGGUGUCAUGCGACCUCCCGGGACCGAGGAACGCGCUUCGGCUCGGAUGUUGGCGUAAUGGUUGUCAGCGACCCGUCUUGAAACACGCACCA